CUCUCUCUCUCUCUCUCGGCGUCGCUUCCCACCGACGCCGCCCAAAAUUCCGGCCGCCGCCUUCGAUUCCCGCGUGCCCACGCACGUGGCCGGCCGCCUGGGCGCCGCCAUCGCUACCCUCGGUCGUCGCUUGCCCCGACGACCACCGUGUCCGCGCUCGCCUUCAAACCGUCCCCAUCCUUUUUGCAGUCAUCGCCGGCGUCAUCCUCUCGGGCCCGGCGCCCCAUGCCGCGUGCAUCCAAAACCGUGAGGCGCGGCUCGUUCUCAUCCCUUUCCUCCCAAAACGGAAGGAGCAAAGCUCCCUUUCCUCCUCCUUUCGCUUUUUCCCUUCCCGGGUAGCGAGCUCCCUGCCUCAACUCCUUGGCUUCUUGCUCAAGAGGCAGAGCCGCUGACGCCGCUGCAGCACCUCGCCGCCCCCACCUUGACCGCGCCCGCUCGCCCGUGCCAACCCUCCCGCGCCCCGCGUUCAAUUCGCUCCGCCCGAUCCACCGCCUCCGCCGCCCAACGCAUCCACGCCGUCGCCGUUUUCGCGUCACCCACGAAAGCGUCGAUGCUGCUUGCGGUCGCUAGCCGAGCGCCAGCUCGCAUGCGCCCUCCUCGGUCCUCGCCUAUAAAUACCACCCCUUGAGCCCCAAUCCAUCCCCUUGGUCUCAUGCUCCUAGGAACGGAGCACCGCCGACUCCUUCGUCGCUGGCCGUCGCCGCCGCGACCAAGAACGUCUCUUCGCCGCCACUGGGCCGCCCCAUCCUCGCGCUCCCCUCUUCUUCCCCGGCCACGCCGUCUUGGCGCCGUGCCGCUCCCGUCGCGGUGAUCAUCUCGCCACGGGCGGACAACUCCAUCAGCCCGCCUCGGCGUCAAACCCGCCAGGACAUCCUUGCCGCCGGCAUCCCCUUUCUCGCUUCCGAGCCCUCAUCACCAACGCCGUCUCGCCUCGCCCGUCGAACUGCUGAAGAUGUGACCAAACUGAAAGCAGAGUAGAUUAAUCCGGUGCCAUGCUUGAGAAUACCAGCGUCGUGGUGAUGAUAUGAUUUAAUUGGCAGUGAUUGAUGAAGAGGAAAGGAUGGGUGGAGCGCAGGAUAUGAACGGCCUCUGUCGCUCCGUCUCCCAAGUAUGUGAGGAUUGCACGGUCCAGGACCAGGAAGCAAGCCGAUCGAAAUCCCCGUCAAUGCGUGGCUUCGCGGAGUGUGUCCAGCAGAGGUUUGCAGGAGUUCGGACGGGCUUGACAGGGCCUGCUAACCAACUUGGGCCUGAUUUCUGUGUCCAGCCGAGAAUAAGAUCUAACGGUGUUUGGCAUCUGACAAUAGAUUGAUCAGACGGCUCUACGGCUCUAAAGUCUCAAUGACGUGGCUUAACCUGGUGCUUCCUUUAUAGGAGCUAAUGUUGUAGUUGGUACCAACUAUAUAGGAAGAAGGGAUUAUAUUGCUUGUAAAAUAUUAUGCAUUGAUAGGAUUGCACUUAAUCUGUUUGCCCCGUCUACGAGGUAGACCGGUGGGCCUACCUAACUUGUUGCAUCUGAUCCUUCCAUUGUUAAUUGUUA